UGAUUAUUCCUGCUUUUAGUUCUUGGAGGGCCUUUGUGCUGGUGGGUCUGGCUUUUCAAUACUCUGCUCUUCCCCAAGAACGUGAAAAGAGGAGAAGGAGAAGGGAAAUGACUUCUGUGCUCCUAACAGCCAGGUCCCAGGUGAGUGA
rnacentral:lncRNA from 1 species